ACUGCCCCUAGAGGCAUUGCUGGUGUGGCUGAUGUGUCACAUGUGUGUCAAUAAGUGGUAGAGAGGAGAGAGGUUAUGUCUAUGCUCAGUCUUCUAGCCUAUAAACAUCUGAACAAUUAGUAGCCUAACAGU